rnacentral:rRNA from 1 species
UAGACCGCCUGGGGAGUACGGCCGCAAGGUUAAAACUCAAAUGAAUUGACGGGGGCCCGCACAAGCGGUGGAGCAUGUGGUUUAAUUCGAUGCAACGCGAAGAACCUUACCUGGUCUUGACAUCCACGGAAGUUUUCAGAGAUGAGAAUGUGCCUUCGGGAACUGUGAGACAGGUGCUGCAUGGCUGUCGUCAGCUCGUGUUGUGAAAUGUUGGGUUAAGUCCCGCAACGAGCGCAACCCUUAUCCUUUGUUGCCAGCGAUUAGGUCGGGAACUCAAAGGAGACUGCCAGUGAUAAACUGGAGGAAGGUGGGGAUGACGUCAAGUCAUCAUGGCCCUUACGACCAGGGCUACACACGUGCUACAAUGGCGCAUACAAAGAGAAGCGACCUCGCGAGAGCAAGCGGACCUCAUAAAGUGCGUCGUAGUCCGGAUUGGAGUCUGCAACUCGACUCCAUGAAGUCGGAAUCGCUAGUAAUCGUGGAUCAGAAUGCCACGGUGAAUACGUUCCCGGGCCUUGUACACACCGCCCGUCACACCAUGGGAGUGGGUUGCAAAAGAAGUAGGUAGCUUAACCUUCGGGAGGGCGCUUACCACUUUGUGAUUCAUGACUGGGGUGAAGUCGUAACAAGGUAACCGUAGGGGAACCUGCGGUUGGAUCACCUCCUUACCUUAAAGAA